UUCCAACUUCCAGCAAAGGAGCCUUAACACUACGAGAACAAGAAACUGAAUUAGCCCGCAACCUGAAAGAGCUUGGAGACUGAUUCCUUCCCAGAGCCUCCAAAAAGAAAUGUAGCUUUCCACACCUUGAUUUCAGCCUUGUGGGAUCCUAAGCAGAGGACCCGGCUGAGCCACACUGUAUCCAGAUCUCUGACUUAAAGGAGACUGUAACAAGCCAUUUGUGGAGAUGCAAAUGUGGGUCCACAGGUUAUACUUUGAAUAGCACAUUUCUACGUAAUCUGUGCGCCACUAAAAGGAAGACACAAGCCUCCCAGCCUACCAUCAUUAACUCCUUGUGGAACAAAAUGAAAAAAACAUAGAAACAAAUUUUGUGUGUUCAAAUGCUUAAAACCUAUCUCCCUAACAUUACCAAAGAUUAACUUGGCAAUGCAUACUUACCUCUUACUAAUUUUUUAACAAUAUGUCUUAAGUGGACAGGAACAUAAAUC
rnacentral:lncRNA from 1 species